rnacentral:tRNA from 1 species
UAAAAGAUAAGCUAAAAAAGCUAUUGGGCCCAUACCCCAUCAAUGAGAAUAAUUUCCUCUCUUUUUA